rnacentral:lncRNA from 1 species
AGGUAUAGUUAAUAUUGUCUCAGAAAAUAAGCUGUUCGGAUUUCCUGAAGAAACUUCAGAACUUGAGGAAUCAGUGUCACACACUAGUUCAGUUCAAGAGAAGAAAGCCAAACUUGGUGAGAAUGGAAGCUUAGAAAUUAAAUGUAGGGGCUUGGAUCAUGUGGAUUCACUCGGACUGGUACAAAUCAGUAACAGAGUAAGGUGCUUGAUCAAUUGGUUAAUAAACGCACUAGUAAAACUCCAGCAUCCUUAUACAGAGAACAAAAUUUCCUUGGUUAGAAUCUACGGGCCGAAGGUAAAAUUUGACAGGGGACCAGCACUGGCAUUCAAUGUGUACGACUGGAAAGGAGAAAAGGUCGAGCCUGUUCUUGUCCAGAAGCUUGCUGAUCGAAGCAAUAUUUCUCUUAGCAAUGGGGUUUUACACCAAAUGUGGUUCUCGGAGAAAUAUGAAGAAGAGAAGGAGAGAGUCCUAGAGAGAAGACAUGAAGAUAGAGAAAGAAAUGGUAACAAGAAAAAAGCUUACCAGGGGAUAACAGUGGUCACAGCUGCACUUGGGUUCCUCACCGAUUUCGAAGACAUUUACAGGCUUUGGGCUUUCAUUGCUCAGUUCCUGGAUGCAGACUUUGUGGAGAAGGAAAGAUGGAGAUAUACAGCUCUGAACCAAAAGACUGUUGAAGUGUAAGCAUAUUAUCAUAUUAAUCCUUUAUAAUGAAUUUAUGAAGUAUAUAGUCUUUUUUUUUUGGCUAAUUAUUAUGAAGUGUAUAGUCUGCGGAGUGAAAGUCUCCCUCAAAAUUGUAAGCUUAACUGAUGCAAAACUAUGAAAGAAAAAGUAAAGGUCUAUCAUCAAUUCUUCUGGUAAUGUUCAAUAAUAAAGAUCCCUUGCAAAAACUAUACACAUGCAUCAACCGGUUAGAACAAUAAUUAAACAUGCUUGACAGCAUUCUUUAAAGAAACUACACAUGCAUCAACCAGUUAGUAUCAAAAUCAAUCAAUUCAGUGACUUCAAUAAUUAAACAUGCUUGUUGAAUGUAUUUAUACACAUGCACACAGCACACGCUGAGAGUACGCUCGUAAGAAUGACCUUAUCAGUUCCACAACUGACAUUAGCAUGGUAUUAAACAUUUCUAACGACUCGUUUGGAGAUUUGCACUGCACCAAUCCGCUUAUCAUAGAAGUCCAAGAAAUAACAUCUCCUUCCAGGAGCUCCAUGAGGAGCUGUUUUGCCUCCCAUAAAUAUACUCACUUGACGUACACAUCCAUUAUUUACCACCAAGUCCCUUUCAAAGGCAUGCUUCAACAUCAACCCAUCCCCAUAUUCACAUAACCAAGGCACCCACAUGCUAGAAACACUUAACAAAGGCUGCAAUAUUCAGCUUGACAUCCAUUUUCAGGAAAGUUUUACAGCAUCAUUAAUAGACUUUCGCCUUAUAUAUCCUGAUCAAGAGACUACAUCUCUCAUAAGCAUGUUAUCAAACACCUUAUUUGCAUCAAUACAUCUGCUACAAACACCAUAAAAAAUGAAGAAGUAAGAUUUUCCCAAGCAUAGUCUACAAAGCCAACAGAUUUUUCAAAGAAUUCAGCAACUUUAUUACUUACAAAUUCAUCAAGAACUAAACCGGAUAUAAUUAGUUGAGCAUGAAUCUGCUUAAAGGACCCAAGGUUCUUGCAACCAGUAUAAAUUAACUCUAAAAUGGUCCAUUUCAAACAAUGCAUGGUCCUAUUAAAAUUGAGUUAAAUCUACCAAUUUCGAGAAUAGUUAUACAACAUCUUGAAUUCUUGAUCUAUAAUAAGUGCCCACGUAAUUAAACAAGAAAAAUGACUCCUUGACUAAGCCAUUUCAAGAUAACUAAAUUAUUUCUCUCCACACAAAUACAUUGUAUAUGCAUGCAUCACUAACACAAGGAACACAAAGACGGAUAGGGUGAGCCAGACAGACUGAUUAAGUAGAUUAUGAAGCAUAUAAAUCGUAUGCUUACCCCGAUUUGAAGCGUUAAUUACGUCUGUGUAACCGUGAUUAUAACUUUAUGAAAGGGUAAAUAUGCCUGUGUAAUCAAAUUUUAAGAUUUGGCUCCCCCAUUACACUUUUC